GCCUGGGUGGCUCAGUCGGUUGAGCGUCCGACUUCAGCUCAGGUCAGGAUCUCACAGUUGGUGGGUUCGAGCCCCGCGUCGGGCU
rfam:Felis catus isolate Cinnamon breed Abyssinian chromosome B4, whole genome shotgun sequence.